rnacentral:rRNA from 1 species
GUGAGGAAUAUUGGACAAUGGGCGCAAGCCUGAUCCAGCCAUGCCGCGUGCAGGAGGACGCAUCUAUGGUGUGUAAACUGCUUUUGUACGGGAAGAAACACUCCCUCGUGAGGGAGCUUGACGGUACCGUAAGAAUAAGGAUCGGCUAACUCCGUGCCAGCAGCCGCGGUAAUACGGAGGAUCCAAGCGUUAUCCGGAAUCAUUGGGUUUAAAGGGUCCGUAGGCGGUUUAAUAAGUCAGUGGUGAAAGCCCAUCGCUCAACGAUGGAACGGCCAUUGAUACUGUUAGACUUGAAUUACAAGGAAGUAACUAGAAUAUGUAGUGUAGCGGUGAAAUGCUUAGAUAUUACAUGGAAUACCAAUUGCGAAGGCAGGUUACUACUUGUGGAUUGACGCUGAUGGACGAAAGCGUGGGGAGCGAACAGGAUUAGAAACCCCUGUAGUCC